rnacentral:rRNA from 1 species
GUGGGGAAUAUUCCGCAAUGGACGAAAGUCUGACGGAGCAACGCCGCGUGAGUGAUGAAGGUUUUCGGACUGUAAAGCUCUGUUGUUUAGGACGAAAGUGCCUGUUGCAAAUAGUUACAGGUAUUGACGGUACUGAACGAGGAAGCCACGGCUAACUACGUGCCAGCAGCCGCGGUAAUACGUAGGUGGCAAGCGUUGUCCGGAAUUAUUGGGCGUAAAGAGCAUGUAGGCGGGAAUCUAAGUCUGUUGUGAAAAUGCGGGGCUCAACCCCGUAUUGCGAUGGAAACUGAGGUUCUUGAGUGCAGGGGAGGAAAGGGGAAUUCCCAGUGUAGCGGUGAAAUGCGUAGAUAUUGGGAGGAACACCAGUGGCGAAGGCGCCUUUCUGGACUGUGUCUGACGCUGAGAUGCGAAAGCCAGGGUAGCGAACGGGAUUAGAUACCCCUGUAGUCC